rnacentral:rRNA from 1 species
AUUGAAUGCUGGCGGCAGGCCUAACACAUGCAAGUCGAGCGGAUGAAGGGAGCUUGCUCCUGGAUUCAGCGGCGGACGGGUGAGUAAUGCCUAGGAAUCUGCCUGGUAGUGGGGGAUAACGUCCGGAAACGGGCGCUAAUACCGCAUACGUCCUGAGGGAGAAAGUGGGGGAUCUUCGGACCUCACGCUAUCAGAUGAGCCUAGGUCGGAUUAGCUAGUUGGUGGGGUAAAGGCCUACCAAGGCGACGAUCCGUAACUGGUCUGAGAGGAUGAUCAGUCACACUGGAACUGAGACACGGUCCAGACUCCUACGGGAGGCAGCAGUGGGGAAUAUUGGACAAUGGGCGAAAGCCUGAUCCAGCCAUGCCGCGUGUGUGAAGAAGGUCUUCGGAUUGUAAAGCACUUUAAGUUGGGAGGAAGGGCAAUAAGUUAAUACCUUGCUGUUUUGACGUUACCAACAGAAUAAGCACCGGCUAACUUCGUG